ACAGAAACAAACCCAGUCUCGCAUCUCUGUGGGCUAAGUUGGUCCCAGCAGAACACAGACCCGGGAUGUAUUUCACUAUUCCAUCGUUUCAUCGACAUCGGAAAGAGGAAAAUGAUGGGGUUGUUCAAGGAUUUCUCAGCUUGGCUUGAAGCCCCUGCGAUUGCUCGGCGUGGGCGUGCACAGCUGGACUUCACAUUCCCAUUUGCGGCGGAGGCUUCAUCUGAAAUGCUGUGACAAAAGGAGUUUGCAAGUUUUCCAAGCAAAUGGAAGUGAUAUCUUAAGAGAAAAGAGUUUGUGCUCAGAAUCUUGACAGUGGAUUCAAAGUUGAAAAGACAAAGUGGACAAUCUCCAGGAAGCAAAGAGUAUUUUGGAACCAAACACUAAAAAUGACACGUAUGAUUUUUUUUCAAAUAGGAAAUAAAUACUCCUCGGUCAUCUUCCUCCUCAAUAGUUGUAAGCACUGGUUACUUCUGUCUGGCAAUUUAUAAAUAUAAGCUACUCAUUGCUCAGGCAAAUACAGAGUGUUUGUUUCCCAUGAUGGACAUGGCCAUUCUUCACCAUAGGAAAGACUGGUAUGAAAGGAGCACUAGGCCCAGUGCGCGCUGACCUUCUUGAGUCCUCACUUUCAUUUGAUAUUUGAAGAUGCACUUUUGGAAAAUUCUUGGACAUUAUUUAAAGUAAACAAGAUUUGUACAAUGUUGGUUCAGUAAAUGUCCUCCCAGC
rnacentral:lncRNA from 1 species